rnacentral:rRNA from 1 species
UACGUAGGUGGCGAGCGUUGUCCGGAUUUACUGGGCGUAAAGGGAGCGUAGGCGGACUUUUAAGUGAGAUGUGAAAUACCCGGGCUCAACUUGGGUGCUGCAUUUCAAACUGGAAGUCUAGAGUGCAGGAGAGGAGAAUGGAAUUCCUAGUGUAGCGGUGAAAUGCGUAGAGAUUAGGAAGAACACCAGUGGCGAAGGCGAUUCUCUGGACUGUAACUGACGCUGAGGCUCGAAAGCGUGGGGAGCAAACAGGAUUAGAUACCCCGGUAGU